rnacentral:rRNA from 1 species
GACGAACGCUGGCGGCGUGCUUAACACAUGCAAGUCGAACGAUGAAGCCUCUUCGGGAGUGGAUUAGUGGCGAACGGGUGAGUAACACGUGAGUGACCUGCCCUUCACUUCGGGAUAACUUCGGGAAACUGGAGCUAAUACCGGAUAUUCACAUUUUCUCGCAUGGGGGUUUGUGGAAAGAUUUUUUGGUGGGGGAUGGGCUCGCGGCCUAUCAGCUUGUUGGUGGGGUGAUGGCCUACCAAGGCGGUGACGGGUAGCCGGCCUGAGAGGGCGACCGGCCACACUGGGACUGAGAUACGGCCCAGACUCCUACGGGAGGCAGCAGUGGGGAAUAUUGCACAAUGGGCGAAAGCCUGAUGCAGCAACGCCGCGUGCGGGAUGACGGCCUUCGGGUUGUAAACCGCUUUCACCGCCGACGAAGAUGACGGUAGGCGGAGAAGAAGCACCGGCUAACUACGUGC